rnacentral:tRNA from 2 species
GCACCUAUAGCUCAGCAGGAUAGAGCAACGGUUUCCUAAACCGUGUGCCGGGGGUUCGACUCCCUCUAGGUGCACCA